UAACACGUGGGAAUUUGCCCUUCAGUGGGGAAUAACUGCUCGAAAGAGUAGCUAAUACCGCAUACGGUCCCUCCCUAAAGAGAGGAGACUAAAGGUUUUCGCAAGAGAGCCGCUAAAGGAGAAGCCUGCGGCUGAUUAGCUAGUUGGUGGGGUAAAAGCUUACCAAGGCGAUGAUCAGUAGCUGGUCUGAGAGGACGGUCAGCCACACUGGGACUGCGACACGGCCCAG
rnacentral:rRNA from 1 species